UUUAAAGUGGCGCAGUUGGAAGCGCACAUGACUAAGAAUCAUGUUGUCGCAGGUUCGAAUCCUGCCUUUGUAA
rnacentral:tRNA from 1 species